CCUACGGGUGGCAGCAGUGAGGAAUAUUGGUCAAUGGACGGAAGUCUGAACCAGCCAUGCCGCGUGCAGGAAGAUUGCUCUAUGAGUUGUAAACUGCUUUUGUACAAGGGUAAACCUGAAUACGUGUAUUCAGCUGAAAGUACUGUACGAAUAAGGAUCGGCUAACUCCGUGCCAGCAGCCGCGGUAAUACGGAGGAUCCAAGCGUUAUCCGGAUUUAUUGGGUUUAAAGGGUGCGUAGGCGGAUUGAUAAGUUAGUGGUGAAAUGUCCGAGCUUAACUCGGGAAUUGCGUUUAAUACUGUAGAUGUAGAGAGAGGAUGGGGUAGGCGGAAUGUAUGGGGUAGCGGUGAA
rnacentral:rRNA from 1 species